rnacentral:tRNA from 1 species
GUCAGGAUGGCCGAGUGGUCUAAGGCGCCAGACUCAAGCAGUUCUGCUUCCUUGUGUAGAGGUUUCUGGUCUCCGUUUGGAGGCGUGGGUUCAAAUCCCACUCCUGACA